rnacentral:rRNA from 1 species
AUUGAACGCUGGCGGCAGGCCUAACACAUGCAAGUCGAACGAGUGGCGGACGGGUGAGUAAUGUCUGGGAAACUGCCUGAUGGAGGGGGAUAACUACUGGAAACGGUAGCUAAUACCGCAUACCAUCGGAUGAGCCCAGAUGGGAUUAGCUAGUAGGUGGGGUAAAGGCUCACCUAGGCGACGAUCCCUAGCUGGUCUGAGAGGAUGACCGUCACAACUGGAACUGAGACACGGUCCAGACUCCUCCGUGAGGCAGCAGUGGGGAAGAUUGCACAAGGGGCGCAAGCCUGAUGCAGCCAUGCCGCGUGUAUGAAGAAGGCCUUAGGGUUGUAAAGUACUUUCAGCGGGGAGGCGUUACCCGCAUAAGAAGCACCGGCUAACUCCGUGCCAGCAGCCGCGGUAAUUC